rnacentral:rRNA from 1 species
CCUACGGGGUGCAGCAGUGGGGAAUAUUGGGCAAUGGGCGCAAGCCUGACCCAGCAACGCCGCGUGAAGGAAGAAGGCUUUCGGGUUGUAAACUUCUUUUCUCAGGGACGAAGCAAGUGACGGUACCUGAGGACUAAGCCACGGCUAACUACGUGCCAGCAGCCGCGGUAAUACGUAGGUGGCAAGCGUUAUCCGGAUUUACUGGGUGUAAAGGGCGUGUAGGCGGGAAAGCAAGUCAGAUGUGAAAACCAUGGGCUCAACCUGUGGCCUGCAUUUGAAACUGUUUUUCUUGAGUACUGGAGAGGCAGACGGAAUUCCUAGUGUAGCGGUGAAAUGCGUAGAUAUUAGGAGGAACACCAGUGGCGAAGGCGGUCUGCUGGACAGCAACUGACGCUGAGGCGCGAAAGCGUGGGGAGCAAACAGGAUUAGAUACCCUGGUAGUC